GUGUUGUAUGAAAGAAGAGAAGGUUAGCACUCCCCUUGACAAGGAUGAAAGAGGCCCUCAGACCUGACAACAUGGGUAUGGUUAAGGCAUUGCACCUAAUAGUGGCUUCUUAUCACUGUUUUUG
ensembl:snRNA